AAUGAACGUUGGCGGCGUGGAUUAGGCAUGCAAGUCGUGCGGAAAGGCUCCUCCGGGAGUACUCGAGCGGCGUAAGGGAGAGUAACGCGUGGAUAUCUACCCCCUGGACUGGGAUAGCGGCGGGAAACUGCCGGUAAUACCAGAUAAUGUCUGCGGACCAAAGGUGUGAUUCCGCCGGGGGAUGAGUUCGCGUCCUAUUAGCUAGUUGGUAGGGUAAUGGCCUACCAAGGCAAAGAUGGGUACCGGGUGUGAGAGCAUGGCCCGGCUCACUGGGACUGAGACACUGCCCAGACACCUACGGGUGGCUGCAGUCGAGAAUCUUCGGCAAUGGGCGCAAGCCUGACCGAGCGACGCCGCGUGCGGGAUGAGGGCCUUCGGGUUGUAAACCGCUGUCAGAGGGGAGGAAAUGCGUGAGAGUUCUCUCUCACGUUUGACCUAUCCUCAGAGGAAGUACGGGCUAAGUUCGUGCCAGCCGCCGCCGUAACAC
rnacentral:rRNA from 1 species